rnacentral:rRNA from 1 species
AGCAGUGGGGAAUUUUGGACAAUGGGCGCAAGCCUGAUCCAGCAAUGCCGCGUGAGUGAAGAAGGCCUUCGGGUUGUAAAGCUCUUUUGUCAGGGAAGAAACGGCCGCGGCUAAUAUCCGCGGCUAAUGACGGUACCUGAGGAAUAAGCACCGGCUAACUACGUGCCAGCAGCCGCGGUAAUACGUAGGGUGCAAGCGUUAAUCGGAAUUACUGGGCGUAAAGCGUGCGCAGGCGGUUUUGUAAGUCUGACGUGAAAUCCCCGGGCUCAACCUGGGAAUUGCGUUGGAGACUGCAAGGCUGGAGUCUGGCAGAGGGGGGUAGAAUUCCACGUGUAGCAGUGAAAUGCGUAGAGAUGUGGAGGAACACCGAUGGCGAAGGCAGCCCCCUGGGCCAAGACUGACGCUCAUGCACGAAAGCGUGGGGAGCAAACAGGAUUAGAUACCCUGGUAGUCCACGCCCUAAACGAUGUCUACUAGUUGUCGGGUCUUAAUUGACUUGGUAACGCAGCUAACGCGUGAAGUAGACCGCCUGGGGAGUACGGUCGCAAGAUUAAAACUCAAAGGAAUUGACGGAAGC